CAGAUAAGCGCUCGUGGAGAGGGUAGAGGGCACUGGGUGGGGCAGGCACGCCUGGGAGUGUCCCGGCCUCGUCUCGGAUCCUUGACCUGUGACCCCCUGCCUACGCAGGCCACCUCCGCACACUCACGCGGGAGGUGUUGCUGCCGGGCUGAGUGGAGCGGACUCUCCCACCGCGUGGAGCUCUGAUGGAGCCGGCAGCCCCUCCCCGCAGCCCUCAUUGCCCCGGCGGAGGAGGGGCAGGGCGUCCCCUACCCCAAUCAGGGAGGGUUCGGAGCACGUGUGGACCGCCCGGCCGGGCCGGAGCCCAGCGAGCGGGGGCCGCUCCCAUCAUCCUCUCCAGGUCAACAGCACAAAUGCGGCGCCGGCGAACAAAGAAGCGCUGCAAACUCGCCAGGGGGGCGGGACAGCCCGCGCCGCGCCCCCUCCCCAAGCCGGGCGGGCUUGCCGGGCCGUGGGGUCCUCGCGGCGCCCCGACGGCGCUCUUACCUGGCCGGCGCGGACCUCUUUCUCCAGCUCGCGGUGGCGGUUGUGCCACACGAGGCCCCGGCGCGGAACAUGGAGUGGACUGCCUCGCCCCUUUCUCCAGGCUGGGAGGAGCCAGUUGGCAUCUCCCGCCGCCGGGGACCGCUGCCCUCCUCCACCACGAGGGGUCACCAGAGUGCCGUGGCUGAAGCCGGAGUUGGGGAGGGGGCUGGAGCGGGGAAGGGACGGCCAGGAGUGGCCAGGAGAAUGCCUGUACAUUUCCUCAUUAAAUUGUUUUUUACAA